rnacentral:lncRNA from 1 species
AUGUCCUUUAAGUCAAUCUGGGAUAAAAGGUAUUUUUCUGCCUGGCAUGGAAAGAUGGUAAAAGUGAGAGGAAGUGUAAAAAGGAAUCACCUCUCUAACCCAGACUUUAUGCUCCAUACUACAGACCUGCUCAAAUUCAAAAGGUGUUCAAAACAGAGAUGUGGGACUUGUAGCCCUGUGUCCCAGAGGGUGAGACCAACCAACAGGCUCAGGAAGCACCAUACUCUUGGGGCUGAGCACUUGCCACAUACUUCAUCUCCAGGAGCUGGCCAAGGGUCCAUCAACAUCCUCACUCACAACCUGCUUUCACUAUGAUGGUGGACACUGGCGAUUGAUUAAAGUCUCCUGAAAGAUUAGGCCUGUCCCACACUUACAAUUAUUUUCACACUUCCAGCCCGCUGACCUUGAUAAGAGGGUUUUUAUUUGUGGUAAAGUAUACUUGAUAUAUAUAUCAUGAAAAUGAUCAUCUUGACCUUUUUUGAGUGUGCAAUUCAGCAACAUUAAGUAUAUUGACACUGUUGUGCAACCAUCAGCACUAUCCACCUCCAACCUUUCCAAAGAUAAAGCCUAUGUGAUGUAGCAAUUCCACUCCUGUUUGUUUAGCCAAAGAAAACAAAAACUCUAAUUCAAAUAGAGACUUGCAACCCAGUGUGCAUAGCAGCAUUAUUUACAAUAGCCACGCUAUGAAAGCAACCUUAGUGUCCAUCAGUAGAGAAUGAGGAGGCUGGCACAAUGCCUGGGAAAACUAGCCACUAUUUUAAAAGUUGCCACCAAUAAUGUAUUGACAGGUCAAUGUCAUUUCAGAGAACCUAGAGUCAUUUCAUUCAUUUAUUCAUUCAGAAAACUUUCAUUGGGCAUGUCCUUGCAACCAGCACUGUCCUGGCCACUAAGAAGACUAAGGCAAUUGUGAUAUAGUCCCUUAGGCUUUUGGAGGGUUUGGUGAAAGUUGACAUGAGAUUAAUGCAGAGGAACACAGGUAACCUCAGAUAGCCAUGAACUGUGCAUAAUUUCCCAGCACAGAGCUCUUCACGAAGAAAUGAUUUGAUAAGUCAUUCAUAUUUAUGACCUUGUUCUCUUCCUAUUUUAAUUAGGUCAUAGUAAUCCACAUAAAUAAUAUUUUGUCCUCGGACAGCGUAAGCAAUAAUUAAGAGCAUGGACUUUAGAGACAAAGAAGCCUAGCGCCCAAAAGCAUUUCCUGAGUGACUAUGAGGAAGUGAGUUAAACUCUCUANNNNNNNNNNNNNNNNNNNNNNNNNNNNNNNNNNNNNNNNNNNNNNNNNNNNNNNNNNNNNNNNNNNNNNNNNNNNNNNNNNNNNNNNNNNNGGUAUUAUUAAUAGAUAAAUUCACUCUCUUAUUCCUUUGUUUUUAAUUCUUUAAAUUUUUGUUUUUGUUUUUGGCAGAGGAAGGAAGGAGGGAGGUUUGAUCCAAGUGUUAUUUUUUUAAUCCUAUGGCUAUAUGUGAUCCACCUGAAAAAGGACUUCCUGGGCCCCCCUUGAGUGCCUCUGUAUAUGUCAUACCAGGCAAGGUCUCAUCAAGAAUAUUAAGAACAGUCUGUCCCACAGACAUGUAUUUUCAUAAAUGUGAUUUCAGCAAAAUGAAUAUUUCCCUCUUAGAUGUAGACCUGAAAACAUCAGGAUUUAUUUUAAUAUAAUUUCUAAAAACUUUUUUUUCCCUAAGAAUCUACUGUGUCCCAUUAGAAAAGGUGUGACUUUCCAGUUAUAGCAAAUUGAAGCCCUACUUCAGAAGAUGUGAACCUGGCAGGAAGUGACUGAUUCUUAAGGAAACCCCUAAGCUGGGACCAGCUCACUGGCUUGAGAACGGGCAGACUAUCAAUGGGCAGCCAGCUCCCUACGUGUGUUGACUUGGACCUCAGGUUCCUAUGCAGUGGCACUUAGGUUAAAAUUUAGCAGCUGAAAGCUUAAUCAGAAACUUUGCCCUGAGUAACUCUGCUGUGAAACAUACCUGUCUGUGUUGCAUUCAAAGUUUCAGGCUGCUUCAGAAAGCUGUCCAAGUCCACUUCCCCAACUACACAGUCCAGGAGAUUGGAUCAUAGAGGAAACUCCUUGUCAGUUUUGAUUCUAAGCUGCCCACCUUUUAUACUCUUGGUUGUAAAAAUAUCCAAUUCAAGAACUAACUUCCCUGGCUUGUCACUUUCAGUUGUGAGUGUUCCAAGCUCUAUCCAAAAGAGAUACAGAGAAGAAAGUUUGAAAUCAUUAUUCUUAGUGAUGACAGUUAUAUUUGGCAGUUUCAGGAAAGAAAAGAAAUCCAGGACAGGGAAGCAAAUCUUUUUCUAAUGCCAGCACUGAACCUUCAGAGCCUUUAAGUGCCACAAUUCACUUGUAUUGUCACUAAAAAUUUUUUAAGUGGAGGGGAUGGGGGGAAUGUGCCUCCCCUUCCAUAAAAAGUACCAGCACCUUGAGUUCAAUCAACUACAGUCAGAGAACAGUCUCCAUUUGUAAAAUGGUAAUACUAAUACCCACCACCUGCUUCUCAGGGCUGGUGUACGGGUUUGUGUUCAUUUCUGAGAGGGGCUUGAGAUCCUUGAGUGAAAGGUGUGAUGCACAGUAUUAUAAUUCUCACCACAGGGUAACAUAUGGAGAGGGAAAGAAAGUGUAUUGAUACGUAUGUUUCUGUUUAAACUCUGUGUGCAAUGCUGACUUUUAUCUUAUUUUGCCUUUAAGCUAAACUGCAUGGGUCACAUUUAGAGCAUAUGUUGUUAUCAUUUGCCUUUUUUUAGCUCAAGAAAAUCGAGUGAAUAACGGGUAUUGUUUUCCUAUUUGCCAUGGUUAGAAUGGUUGCACGUUUCAAAAUCUCUGACUUGACACACAAAACAGCAGAUUCUCUUAUUAUGAUGCCCAGGAGGGGCUUCAUUGUGUGUUUCUCCCAGUCUACCAUCCAUGAAUAUUAUAGAUCCCAUUUUGAGUAUUAUGAAAUUGGCCAAGUAUUACUUUACAAGUGAAAAAAUCUUUUCAGCCUCCUUGACAAAAAGAACGGACAAUUAAACCAUCUCACUGUUGGUUACCCACAUGCCUCUCACUCACAGCGCCUUAAUUGGUCUAAUAUGCCUUUCCCUUUUUGCUCUUUUCCUAUAAUGAGCUCUCAUGUUAGUGAUCUUGUAUUUUAAACCCUUACAGAGGACCCAGCAGUGUGUUAGGACAGAACCUACACUUCUGCCUCUUUUUCAAUUUGAUUUUAAUUAGAAACCAGGUGGUACAAACCCAAAAGUUUGGUGGUGUUUCUCGGAUGUAAGAUGUGAAACGGUUUUUAAGUAACACUGUAUUAGUCAUGAGGCAGCAACGGAGUAAUGUUGACAUGACUCGCAAGUAGCAUUGUUGAGUAAAUGAAUCUGCGAGAAGCACUUGCUAAACUAAAUGAGUUUUGCAGUUGUAUGCACAUUUGUGUAAUCCUGUUUAUUGAUGCCUGAAACAAUUUGCAAAAUAGAAACAAAUCCACGAAGAAGAAAUAUGUUUGGAAUUAUUUGUUUAUAUGACAAUUUUAAAAAAACACACAGGAAUCCAACUGCCACAUUUCAUGCACUAAAUAUACCAUAUGUGGAAGCUUCCCCUCAGAAAAUUCGACAGCAACCUUUACCAUCUGAUGCAGAACAAUAAGGAACAAACUUAGUCUUUGACUUGCUUUCUCAACUGUUUUAAACACAAGAGUUAGUUCUGUAGAUUUUUUUUUAGCCAAUAGGAUACCUAAACUAUUGUCUUUUGUAUUCAAAGGCUAAUGAAGAAAAAAAUUUCUCCUGAUGCAGAAUGAAUAAGAGUAAUUACUCUGAUAGAAAAAUAUAUAUAUAUAUGUAUAUAUACAGUUGCACAUUUUCCUAGGGGUAAAAAAAUCCAUGUUUUUAAGGAAAUGCAUUAAAGUUUACAAUGGGUCAGACACUGUUCUUGAGUAUUAUCACAAAUAUUAAUNNNNNNNNACUUCAUUACAUUUCCUUGAUUACUGUGAUGAUGCCCAGUUGACAUCUGAGGCAACUGAGGCACAGAGAAGUUCAGUAACUUGUUCAAAAUUACACAACCAAUAAGCAAGAGAGCCAGGAUUCAAAGGUA